CGCCUGUUUAACAAAAACAUCUCUUCUCGUUUAUUUAAUUAUGUCUGCCAACUGAUGUUAUGAAGGGCCGCGGUAUUUUGACCGUGCAAAGGUAGCAUAAUCAUUAGUUCUUUAAGUGUGGACUGGUAUGAAUGGCUUGACGAGGCGUUAACUGUCUUUGUGUUAGGAUUUUGUAUUGAAUUUGGUGUUCGAGUAAAAAUACUUGAAUUUUAUUAUGGGACGAGAAGACCCUAUAGAGUUUUAUAUAAUGAUUUCUUUCUGGUUUGUAUUUUUAUUUGAAUUUAUUGUAUUUUGUUGGGGUGAUGGGAAAGUAAAAUUAACCUUUCUUUUUAGUAUUUCAUUUAUUUAUGUUUUUGUGAUCCUUUAUUAUUGAUUGUAAGAUUAAAUUACCUUAGGGAUAACAGCGUAA
rnacentral:rRNA from 1 species